rnacentral:rRNA from 1 species
AGCAGCCGCGGUAAUUCCAGCUCCAAUAGCGUAUAUUAAAGUUGUUGCAGUUAAAAAGCUCGUAGUUGAAUUUCGGGACUAAUAUGUCGGUCGUGCCUCGGUACGUACUGGUUUAUUGGUUUCUCCUUUCUGAAGAACCAUGAUGUCAUUUAUUUGGUGUCGUGGGGAAUCAGGACUGUUACUUUGAAAAAAUUAGAGUGUUUAAAGCAGGCUCACGCUUGAAUACAUUAGCAUGGAAUAAUGAAAUAGGACGUUUGAUUCUAUUUUGUUGGUUUCUAGGAUCGACGUAAUGAUUAAUAGGGAUAGUUGGGGGCAUUAGUAUUCAAUUGUCAGAGGUGAAAUUCUUGGAUUUAUUGAAGACUAACUACUGCGAAAGCAUUUGCCGAGGAUGUUUUCAUUAAUCAAGAACGAAAGUUAGGGGAUCGAAGACGAUCAGAUACCGUCGUAGUCUUAACCAUAAACUAUGCCGACUAGGGAUCGGAUGAUGUUAAUUUAAUGACUCA